rnacentral:rRNA from 1 species
CCCUAUUAUUUAGAAUGUAAAAUUUGAUCCUUGGUUAGUAAUAGUUAUGUUCUUGAAAACUAAAGAUUUUGGCGGUAUUUUAUUCUGUUCAGAGGAACCUGUCUAGUAAUUGAUAUUCCACGAUAAAUUCUACUUUUUCUUAGUUUACAUAUCGUCGUGGUUUGAAUAUUUUUUUAGAAUUUUAAUGUUCGAUGAUUUUUUUUAUAAAAGAAAUCAGAUCAAGGUGUAGCUUAUGAGUAAGCUUAAGAUGGGUUACAUUAAAUUCUAUUUAAGGAUUAUUAAUUCGCAAUUUAAUAUGAAUUUGGAUUUGAUAGUAAUUUUGAUUAUUUUAUUAGGAUGAUAAUAGCUCUAAAAUAUGUACAUA